rnacentral:tRNA from 1 species
GCCCCCGUAGCUCAAUGGACAGAGCACCUGACUUCUAAUCAGAUGGUUGAGAGUUCGAGUCUCUCCGGGGGCG